GGGAAUGAUGGGAUUGGGAAUGAUGGGAUUGGGAUUUCAUGGUCCAGGAGCAGCCGGACCAGGGGCAGGGAGUCGUCAAUGCAGCUCUGGGAAUGGGAAUGGAAUUGGGAAUAAUGGGAAUGGGAAUGGUGGGAAUGUGGGAAUGCUGGGAUUGGGAAUGGUGGGAAUAAUAGGAUUGGGAAUAAUGGGAUAUGGAAUAAUGGGAUUUCAUGGUCCAGGAGCAGCUGGACCAGGGGCAGGGAGUCAUCGAUGCAGCUCUGGGAAUGGGGGAAUGGGAUUGGGAUUGGGAAUAACAGGAAUGAUGGGAAUGGGAUUGGGAAUGGUGGGAAUGGUGGGAAUGGGAUUGGGGGGGAUUAGGAAUGGUGGGAAUGGGAUUGGGAAUGAUAGGUUUGGGAAUGGUGGGAUUUGGAAUAAUGCGAAUGAUGGGACUGGGAUCGGGAAUAAUGGGAUUGGGAAUAAUGGGAUCGGGAAUAAUGGGAUUGGGAAUAAUGGGAUUGGGAAUAAUGGGAUUGGGAAUAAUGGGAUCAGGAAUAAUGGGAUUGGGAAUAAUGGGAUUUCACGGUCCAGGAGGAGCCGGACCAGGGGAGGGAAUCACCGAUGCAGCUCUGGGAAUGGGAUUGGGAAUGGGAUUGGUGGGAUUGGGUUUGGUGGGAAUUAUGGGAAUGAUGGGAAUGAGAAUAAUGGGAAUGGGAAUAAUGGGAUUUUAUGGUCUAGCAGGAGACGGACCAGGGGCAGGGAAUCUUCAAUGCAGAGCUUGGAAUGGGAUUGGGAAUGGUGA
rnacentral:lncRNA from 1 species